rnacentral:snRNA from 1 species
GUGCCCAAUUUGGCAGGAUAUAUACUAAAAUUGGAACAAUACAAAGAAGAUUAGCAUGGCCCUUUUGCAAGGAUGACUUAAAAAUUUGUAAAGCAUUUCUUACUUUU